UGUUUGUUAGUUUGGUUGGUCGGUCGGUCGGUCGGUCAGUCGGUCGGUCGGUCGGUCGGUCGGUCGGUUGGUUGGUUU
rnacentral:miRNA from 14 species